AAAGCUUUAAGUUAAAAAACUAUUAACCUUCAAAGUUAAAAUUAUAGGAAAUCCUAUAAGCUUUA
rnacentral:tRNA from 1 species